UGGGAGCAAUGCACUUAAAAGUGUUGAUUCAAUUUCAAGAGGCGGAGGUUGCAGUGAGCCAAGAUCAUGCCACUGCACUCCAGCCUGGGUGACAGAGUGAGACUAGUCUCAAAAAAAAAAGGUAAUAGAAACCACUUUCAAUAAUGUCUAUGCAAAAUUAACUCAUUGCCACAAUCUAAAGCAAGCUUGAGAAAUGGUCUGGACACCACAGAGCCCUAAAGGAAACAAUGAAGUAAGGCGCCCAAAAAUAGACUCUCAUUACAUCAAUGCUAACAAUUUCCUUUUUCCAUUUUUUUCUUUCCAAAGUAAACCAGAAGAUUUGAAGGUGGUUAAGAACUGUGCAAAUACCACAAGAUCAUUUUGUGACCUCACAGAUGAGUGGAGAAGCACACACGAGGCCUAUGUCACCGUCCUAGAAGGAUUCAGCGGGAACACAACGUUGUUCAGUU
rnacentral:lncRNA from 10 species